AUUGAACGCUGGCGGCAGGCCUAACACAUGCAAGUCGAGCGGAUGAAGGGAGCUUGCUCCUGGAUUCAGCGGCGGACGGGUGAGUAAUGCCUAGGAAUCUGCCUGGUAGUGGGGGAUAACGUCCGGAAACGGGCGCUAAUACCGCAUACGUCCUGAGGGAGAAAGUGGGGGAUCUUCGGACCUCACGCUAUCAGAUGAGCCUAGGUCGGAUUAGCUAGUUGGUGUGGUAAAGGCCUACCAAGGCGACGAUCCGCAACUGGUCUGAGAGGAUGAUCAGUCACACUGGAACUGAGACACGGUCCAGACUCCUACGGGAGGCAGCAGUGGGGAAUAUUGGACAAUGGGCGAAAGCCUGAUCCAGCCAUGCCGCGUGUGUGAAGAAGGUCUUCGGAUUGUAAAGCACUUUAAGUUGGGAGGAAGGGCAGUAAGUUAAUACCUUGCUGUUUUGACGUUACCAACAGAAUAAGCACCGGCUAACUUCGUG
rnacentral:rRNA from 1 species